rnacentral:rRNA from 1 species
CCUACGGGGUGCUGUAGUGGGGAAUAUUGGACAAUGGGCGAAAGCCUGAUCCAGCCAUGCCGCGUGUGUGAAGAAGGCCUUCGGGUUGUAAAGCACUUUCAGUGGGGAAGAAAGCCUUGGGGCUAAUACCCUCGAGGAAGGACAUCACCCACAGAAGAAGCACCGGCUAACUCCGUGCCAGCAGCCGCGGUAAUACGGAGGGUGCGAGCGUUAAUCGGAAUUACUGGGCGUAAAGCGCGCGUAGGCGGUCUGAUAAGCCGGUUGUGAAAGCCCCGGGCUCAACCUGGGAACGGCAUCCGGAACUGUCAGGCUAGAGUGCAGGAGAGGAAGGUAGAAUUCCCGGUGUAGCGGUGAAAUGCGUAGAGAUCGGGAGGAAUACCAGUGGCGAAGGCGGCCUUCUGGACUGACACUGACGCUGAGGUGCGAAAGCGUGGGUAGCAAACAGGAUUAGAUACCCGAGUAGUC